UGCCAAUGAUGUGAAUCAAUAUUUGCUAUUUGAGUGAAUAAUGAAAAAAAGUUACCACCAAGAUCUGAGGUG